rnacentral:lncRNA from 1 species
GUCUUCAGGUUGAAAACUUAACAUCAGUAAACCUGAGUUCUUAGCUUCUUUGUGUUAGUUAGUGUAUGUCUUGUAUGUAGAUUAGAAAUUGCUUAACUUUGUUACCUCGUUGCAAGUAAAAUUUGAUCACUCGACUAUACUUAUCAUAAUCUGGGCAAAACGAGUUAUCUGAAUUUAUUUUGACUUUCACAAAGUAAUAAAACUAGUGGAUGAAUAUUUUCCAACUUCGUAUUUCAUAAGUGAUGGUAUGUCUAAUGACAUUAGUCGACGUAGUAUCAAAGCAAAAACGUUUGCUUGUAUCCUGCAACGACCUGCUCGUACGAAGACUCAUUCCAUUUCAUAGCUAUUUUUCAUUUAUUAAUAGUUUAAAAUUGCUUAUACAUCAUGCAUAUUCUUAAAGCUUCGUUUCUAAAAUUCCAUUAUCCUCAACUGACAGGUUCUGUAAAGAAAACGGGGAUUCAAGAUGGUAAUUGCUCUUUCUUUAAUAGUCAACAACAUGCUUGCCCUACAGUGGGUCUUUGCAACCAUAGAAUGUCAGGUCGAAUUAACUUUUUGGCUCUUUUCUGUGUGUGUUCUGCAGCAUAUUGUCUAUAACAGGAAAUAUCCAAAGUUUGAAUCAAAACUUUGCUAAAAUUCAAACGCACUUUUAAUUAAAUCAAAUUAGAUUCUUCGUCGAGUAAUUGUUGGGUUUUAAGGGUGUGUUGUUAAGAAAACCUUGGUAUUUUGACCUUUACGACAAAAUUUAGAAUUGCUGUAAUUAUUUGGAAGAAACAACGACAAAAAAGAACAGAAAUAGUCAAAGGCUAGCGGAUAAUUAAUCAUCGAAAGUUACUUUGACUUUGAGGUUGAUUUCCCAGGAUGCAGAUGCUGUAGUUUUGCAACAGAAAUAUUCUUUUACCCUUUGCUUUCGGGUAGGUAGAACAACAAGAAAGAGACUGGAAAAAGUAUAAGGAACGGAAGAACGAAGAAUGAAGGAAAUAUAGGUCAAAAAGCGUUAGAAACACAAAAGAAGGAGCAGAGCUUAAAGAAAUGCAAAGUAAUUCCAGACAAUUUGAUGAUGUAAACUCGAGAAACAGGACGCCAUGUUUGGUGUCAGCUUUCUUGAUUUACUACAAGGAACCUUUGUAUUGUGAAUUGUUUUUUUCUGCAGAAAAUAUCUGAACAUUCAUUAAGGUUGCGCAUACAACUCAAGCAAAGAAUCUUAUUUUUCAAGAGAAUGACAGGUGGUCGUCUUAAAUGGAGAAACAACACUCAAGUUAAAAAGAUUUAGUCAAAGUUACUAACACUGUUUGAAACGCUUUACCACCUUUCUUUGAUGGACUCAAAAAGACCUGAUCGAAGUUGGGAAUUAUUACUGUACACCUUCUUUUCAGUGUAGUUUAGUUUUUCGAUAUUUGAAAGAUACUUCCACUGCUUAGCUAGUGAAGAUAUGAAGUGCUAUUUGUGUUUCAUAAGUUAAGAAAUUGUUGUUGGCCAGUGAGGUUGUAUAUAACAUUUUACAUAGAAAAAACUUCAAAUGGAGUGUAAAGUGGUGUAAGAAAGACCAGAUAAGACUUAACAAAUGUAUACCAUAUACAGGAUAGGAUGUAAGUGACCGAAGUUGUAACAGAGACGAUGUUUAUAAUUAAAAAUAUGUAACUCAAGAACAAGUAAACUUAUUUUGAUUCAA